rnacentral:rRNA from 1 species
GACGAACGCUGGCGGCGUGCUUAACACAUGCAAGUCGAACGGAAAGGCCCUGCUUUUGUGGGGUGCUCGAGUGGCGAACGGGUGAGUAACACGUGAGUAACCUGCCCUUGACUUUGGGAUAACUUCAGGAAACUGGGGCUAAUACCGGAUAGGAGCUCCUGCUGCAUGGUGGGGGUUGGAAAGUUUCGGCGGUUGGGGAUGGACUCGCGGCUUAUCAGCUUGUUGGUGGGGUAGUGGCUUACCAAGGCUUUGACGGGUAGGCGGCCUGAGAGGGUGACCGGCCACAUUGGGACUGAGAGACGGCCCAGACUCCUACGGGAGGCAGAAGUGGGGAAUAUUGCACAAUGGGCGGAAGCCUGAGGCAGCAACGCCGCGUGCGGGAUGACGGCCUUCGGGUUGUAAACCGCUUUCGCCUGUGACGAAGCGUGAGUGGCGGUAAUGGGUAAAGAAGCACCGGCUAACUACGUG